UGAGUCCAACACAGGAUGGGUAAAAUCACCAGAGCCACUUUAUUGCAUUUUCCACAAGAAAGCCUAAUGGCUACACUAAGGGAAGUAAACUUCCAUCUGCCAACAUAAUUAUUCAGAGCUUUCUCUUGUCCCGGUGUGGUCAUCCUGGGAAUGCCUGUCAUCCCGAGAUAAAGACAGCAAAAAGUGAAUGUGACAAAAAGUGAACUGGGAGGAAGAGUUGGAGGUUUCAAGUCAUGGGGAGAGAUUUUUCAGCAAGGGAAGGGAUAAAGAGUGAAAGGCAAAACUGCCUCAAAAUGGCAGAGGAGAACUGAAUCAGGGAAGAAAAGAGCCAAAACUCAACAGAGAACGGGAAGCGAAGGGUUGGGAGAUAUGCAGGGAGGUGCUGCAGAUUCUAAACUAGGAGUUGGGCUCAGAAGCCACUUGGUUUGGCUCUGCCGUCCGACACCUCCCACGGCCACGUCCCAGCUGCAGAGCCAAGAGCUGUCUUAGGGAUUUAGCUCAGGGCUCUCUCCUGCUGUCCCAGAACUGCUGCACUGCUGGGUUUCACUAUCUCAGUCUCAGCAUUGCAACUUGGUUUUCCUUUCCUCCAGGGACAGGGAUGUUCCAAAGCCCCACACUGCCCCUGUUCUGCUAGUUGAGGGAGGGGCUGGGAUGGGGCUGACUUCUCCAGCUCAGCAUUGGACAUUUCUGCUGUUUGUCCCUGCCACUCACUCCUUUAUUUCUGCGUGUACACCACAACUUAGAAGGCUGAAUUCUGAAGGUGGGAUGGAGAACCGUAGCCUAUUUAAAAAACAACAGGUUAAUAAUAUGUACUACAGGCAACAUAUAUGUUUAUAAUUCUCUAUGUUGAUACAGAAAGUUAGCCUGUUUCUGGUUUUUCAUUACUUGCUAUAUGCCCCCAUUGCCCUUCAUUGAUUGCCCCUGUAAACUCAAAAAGACAGGACGCUAGAAUAGAAGGUGGGUUUUUUUUUUUUUUUUUACCCUCUGGAAUUAAAAAUCAAACAGGAUUCAAUUUCAGAACAACAGAAAA